CCUACGGGGCGCAGCAGUGGGGAAUAUUGGACAAUGGGCGAAAGCCUGAUCCAGCCAUGCCGCGUGUGUGAAGAAGGCCUUCGGGUUGUAAAGCACUUUCAGUGGGGAAGAAAGCCUUGGGGCUAAUACCCUCGAGGAAGGACAUCACCCACAGAAGAAGCACCGGCUAACUCCGUGCCAGCAGCCGCGGUAAUACGGAGGGUGCGAGCGUUAAUCGGAAUUACUGGGCGUAAAGCGCGCGUAGGCGGUCUGAUAAGCCGGUUGUGAAAGCCCCGGGCUCAACCUGGGAACGGCAUCCGGAACUGUCAGGCUAGAGUGCAGGAGAGGAAGGUAGAAUUCCCGGUGUAGCGGUGAAAUGCGUAGAGAUCGGGAGGAAUACCAGUGGCGAAGGCGGCCUUCUGGACUGACACUGACGCUGAGGUGCGAAAGCGUGGGUAGCAAACAGGAUUAGAUUACCCGAGUAGUC
rnacentral:rRNA from 1 species